AAGUCGUAACAAGGUCUCCGUAGGUGAACCUGCGGAGGGAUCAUUAACACGUUUUAAAACACGUUUUAACUAUAAACCAACCAACCACGUGAACUAUUUAACACUCCUGGAAGAGAAAGAAUUCUGUCUCCUCUCACUAAUGAUAAGCUUCGCAAGAAGCAGUGAGUUUAGACUAACAUUGCAGUUAAGAGCUGACUUGUAAAGACCUUUCACUUUUGGGCUAAAUGCUCCUAUUAUCAUUCGAGCGAAAACAACCCCUUUCACCAUUUCUAUAACUAUUGACUGAUCUUUUUCUUUGCAACAUAAGAAAAAACUUAAUCAAAUAUCUAAGCACAACUCUUAGCAACGGAUCUCUUGGCUCUC
rnacentral:misc_RNA from 1 species